rnacentral:rRNA from 1 species
GAUGAACGCUGGCGGCGUGCCUUAGGCAUGCAAGUCGAACGGAAUUUAAAAGUGGAAGUUUUCGGAUGGAAACUUUUAAAUUUAGUGGCGGACGGGUGAGUAACGCGUGGGUAACCUGCCGUAUACAGGGGGAUAACACUUAGAAAUAGGUGCUAAUACCGCAUAAGCGCACAGUGUCGCAUGACACAGUGUGAAAAGCCUCGACGGUAUACGAUGGACCCGCGUCUGAUUAGCUAGUUGGUGGGGUAGAGGCCUACCAAGGCGACGAUCAGUAGCCGGCCUGAGAGGGUGACCGACCACAUUGGGACUGAGACACGGCCCAAACUCCUACGGGAGGCAGCAGUGGGGAAUAUUGCACAAUGGGGGAAACCCUGAUGCAGCGACGCCGCGUGAGUGAAGAAGUAUUUCGGUAUGUAAAGCUCUAUCAGCAGGGAAGAAAAUGACGGUACCUGACUAAGAAGCCCCGGCUAACUACGUGCCAGCAGCCGCCGUAA